rnacentral:rRNA from 1 species
GACGAACGCUGGCGGCGUGCUUAACACAUGCAAGUCGAACGGAAAGGCCCUGCUUUUGUGGGGUGCUCGAGUGGCGAACGGGUGAGUAACACGUGAUUAACCUGCCCUUGACUUUGGGAUAACUUCAGGAAACUGGGGCUAAUACCGGAUAGGAGCUCCUGCUGCACGGUGGGGGUUGGAAAGUUUCGGCGGUUGGGGAUGGACUCGCGGCUUAUCAGCUUGUUGGUGGGGUAGUGGCUUACCAAGGCUUUGACGGGUAGCCGGCCUGAGAGGGUGACCGGCCACAUUGGGACUGAGAUACGGCCCAGACUCCUACGGGAGGCAGCAGUGGGGAAUAUUGCACAAUGGGCGGAAGCCUGAUGCAGCAACGCCGCGUGCGGGAUGACGGCCUUCGGGUUGUAAACCGCUUUCGCCUGUGACGAAGCGUGAGUGACGGUAAUGGGUAAAGAAGCACCGGCUAACUACGUG